UGUGGUGGCGAUAGCGAGAAGGAUACACCUGUUCCCAUGCCGAACACAGAAGUUAAGCUUCUUAGCGCCGAUUGUAGUGAAGGG
rnacentral:rRNA from 3 species